GGAGAGAUUCCCGAGUGGUUAAAGGGAGCAGACUGUAAAUCUGCCGCCUCUGGCUUCGAAGGUUCGAAUCCUUCUCUCUCCACCA
rnacentral:tRNA from 5 species